CAACUUGCAGCUGACUUAGAAGUUCUCUUUUUUCAGUGGAUUUUUAGAAGAUCUUUUUCUCUCCCACACACUAAUUGUUACCGCUGUAGGGAAAGAAUUACUUCUCCAUCUGCCCACCUCUAAUCUGAGUUAAAGGUGAAUUUCUGGACUGUGCUCAGAGGAUGAUGUAUCAGUUGUGCUGCUGCAACCAGGUGGAAUCGUUGUGUAGUAGCGCCUGAAGGAAGCCAAAGAACAGCACUUCCAGAACACUACUUUCACAGACUAUGGAAUGCUAAUGGAGAGAACAGGCACAGAACUGAAGCCUUGGUGUACUUUUAGACUUGAAGUUUAAAGGUGAGAUACACAAGGCAACAGCGUUUUCUUGGAAUAUUGCUGCAGGUGGAGUUACAUCUUCAAGUCUAUCUGUAUUUAUGCUCUUAUCUGGAAAGAAGAAAAGCUUUGAUUACUUCCACAAUACAUGUUUAUCUUCACUGAGAAUAAAAUUUUAAACUUUGCUUGCCUUUGAAACUGGAGCUUGUAAAGGUGUUGGGGCAAAGGUUGUGGUGAAUAACAAGGGAGAAGUGAAUCAGUAAAUGCUGUUAGCACAAUGCUUACAGGGUUAGCAGAGCCUUUAACAGAAUAAAACCACCCUUGGAGUUAACCA
rnacentral:lncRNA from 1 species